rnacentral:rRNA from 1 species
UACGUAGGGGGCUAGCGUUGUCCGGAUUUACUGGGCGUAAAGAGCGCGCAGGCGGUCGUUCAAGUCGAGUGUGAAAGCCCCCGGCUCAACUGGGGAGGGUCACUCGAUACUGAUCGACUUGAAGGCAGGAGAGGGAAGCGGAAUUCCCGGUGUAGUGGCGAAAUGCGUAGAUAUCGGGAGGAACACCAGUGGCGAAGGCGGCUUCCUGGCCUGUUCUUGACGCUGAGGCGCGAAAGCGUGGGGAGCGAUCCGG